CUAUGUUGUAAUUUUCUUCUGUAGAUUAAAUUUUCAUGGUUUUAGGAAGGAGUCAUCCAAGUCACCUGCCAUGGGUGUUCUGUGUUCUGCAGUGGCAUUUUGCUGUCACACAGCCUGGGCUGCUCCACCCUGGGGCAGAGCUGGAAAGCCUCACCUCUGCCUUUGCGUCUCAGAGGUCUGAGACAGACUGGUCUCAUAGGCUGGUUUGGGUUGGAAAGGACCUUAUAGCUCAUUUAGUUCCAACCCCCUGCCACAGUCAGGGCCACCUUCCACUAGAGCAGGUUGCUCCAAGCCCCUGUGUCCAACCUGGCCUUGAACACUGCCAGGGAUGGGGCAGCCACAGCUUCUCUGGCCAGCCUGUGCCAGUGUUUUAUCACCUUCAUAGCAAAGAAUUUCUUCCUAACAGCUAAUCUAAAUCUCCCCUUUUUGGCAGGAGGGAGCUUAGAAUAAUAGACUGACAUUUUCCUUCCAACCAAACUCUCACUGAGGAUAGAUUUAAUAUAAUAAUUUGUUAUAAUCUUGGGUUCCUGACUUCACGUAUUAAAGUGAUACGCUGCACACAGCCUACACGCUUCCCUAGGCAAUCAAAGCAAGUGUGGAGACUGCCAAGCCAGAAAUGCCACUGUGCAAACAAACGACUUUUCAUAACUAACUCAGUGGUUUUAUUUUAGACAAGAAGGAAGUGGAAUCAGAGCUGUCAGGAGUAACAGGUGGAGAAGGCACCCUCCAGUGCAUCAGAAAGAUUAUUACUCCUACUCAAAGAUAUUUAAGAAAUCAUUUGGAGUCCCUGUUGUGGUUAUUAGGGGAAGAUCCAACACCAGCCACUCAACAAGGCCACAUAAUCCCAAUUCACAGAGCUGACAACUGACAAGCUCCUGCCCUUUGCAUCAGAUAAAAACCUGUGUGGAAGGCAGAAAUGGACACUGUUGCACUGAUUUCUCAAUGACAGCUGCUUGAGGUAAGCACCUCUGCAUUUGAGGAAAAUACCAGAGGGACAGGAAAAAUGAGGCCAGCACUUGAAGCAAAAGGGUUUUAUUAGCUUCUGAUAUUUCAACUCUACCUAUUAAGCUGCAGCUAGAAACAACAACAAAAAAAAAAACAAAAAAAAAACAACCAACCAUAUCUUUGUAAAAAGACUAACAAACAAUCCAUAAAAGUCUUCCACAUGUAUUAAAAGUUUUAAAUUCAAAAUAAAACUGUCAAGAUUUCAUUUUCUAACAGCGUCUUUAUGAAAUAAUAUCCAAGUUCUCUUCCUAAGUACAGAUACAAGGCAAACAAGCAUCCUACAAAAUAAUCUCUAGAAAAAGGUAGUAUAGGAGGGAAAUUAAGACAGUGUAAUAAUCCACUAGCCAGACACACAGGUUAAAUGUAACACAACCAUACCAUCAAUGAAAUACUUUAAAACAAAAAUAAAUUAAAGU